UCCACCCGCGACCUGCACCGAGGCAGCACCAAGGAGCGUAAGCUCCCCCCGCCGCUCCCCACCGGGCCCAAGGCAGCGAGAGGCGGAGUCCUUGAGCCUGGGCUGUGGGCUCCAGGUGGGCUCUGGGGAGAGGAUGAAGCAGGCCCUGGUGGACGAUACUGAGGACGUGUCCCUGGACUUUGGCAACGAAGAGGAGCUGGCCUUUCGGAAAGCCAAGAUUAGGCACCCGUUGGCCACCUUUUUCCAUCUGUUUUUCCGAGUGAGCGCCAUCGUCACCUAUGCGUGCUGUGACUGGUUCAGCAGAAGCUUUGUGGGCUGCUUUGUCACUGUGCUUCUCCUCCUGUCCUUUGACUUCUGGUCUGUGAAGAACGUGACCGGGAGACUGCUGGUGGGCCUCCGCUGGUGGAACCACAUAGACGAAGACGGGAAGGGCCGCUGGAUUUUUGAGGCCAGAAAGGCGUCCCCGCAGCGCGGCGCGGCCACAGAAGCGGAGGCGCGCAUCUUCUGGCUUGGCCUCGUCAUCUGCCCGCUGAUUUGGACCGUGUUCUUCUUCAGCACCUUGUUCUCCUUGAAGCUCGAGUGGCUGGCCCUUGUGAUAGCUGGGAUUUCUCUCCAAGCUGCUAACCUCUAUGGCUACAUCCUUUGUAAGAUGGGAGGUGAGAGGGACAUCAGCAAAAUCACAGCCAGUUUUCUGUCCCAGAUGGUGUUCCAGACGGCCAGCCCAAGGGACUUCCAGAAGCCUGGCCUCAAGGGGCUGGAGAUUCACAAGCAUUAGGAGCUGAUGAGGUGCUCUUCUUUUGGCUGAUGGAGACCACAGAACUCCUGGAUUUCUGGAACACGAGACACAGAAGCAGUGACGAGGAGGCAGUGCCUCCGGCAGCCGUGCCUGUGCUGGUGAGGGCUGAACCCCCAGACGGCCUAACUCCCAAAACAGCCCUGUCCUGCUGCUGCCCUGUCUCCCAUCGGCUCAUUCCACAGAUCAAGAAUCCUGGGAAUGCUGGUAUUGGCCCCGGACACCAUCUUCCUAGGAGUGGAGGAGAGUACCGUGACGGGUGUAACUCGUUUUUUGGGACCCUGUGAGAGCAAUGACAAGAACAGAGCACAUCGCAAACCUGACCGUGUUUGUUCACCGCUGGGCUCACUCAGGCUGACGCUACUGCUCUCUCCUCAGCGUGCUCCCAGCACGGCCUGCGUGCGACUGGGACAGGAGGACCCGGGCGUCGCUAAAGAAGGGGCAAGGGCUGUAGCAGCUUAUCCAGACGCCUGUCUAUACCCGAAGAUGGCUGUACGGAAAACCAGGCUUCCUCCGUUUGUCGGAGACGUGAACGGAAGCACUGCAGGGGGAUGGAUGCAGGGGCACAGUGAGGGGGGAGGUGACCACGAGGGACGGGCUGAAUUCUAACAGCACCAGUGGCCUUGCGGGCUUGGUGAAGGACACUUCAAAGCGAUUUCGAGCCGCUGUUUAAUCUGUGGACAGAACUGCAGCAUGCUCAUUUCGUACACAGCAAACGCCUGGACCACAGACAAAACGUUUCACAAGUUUCUGCAGAUCCGAACCGAGGGCGGUCAGAGCACGUGUUGGCGGGAGCUGCUUCAAGAAAAGGGGCUCGAGACCGCACGAGAAAGAAACCGUUCGACAGGGCACAGCGUGGCGCCCUCUCUGCCCGGGCGCUCGCUCACCUGAGGAGUAGUGAUGAUCACCGCCCCAUCGACGUGUGCCGCGGACAGGUACUGGACGGCCGAGAGGUGUUCAUCCGACGUGCCUGGCGGGGUGUCCACGAUGAGGUAGUCGACCUCUCCCCAGUCCACGUCCCGAAGGAACUGCUUGAUCAUGCCUGAAGAGAGAUCCAGUGAGGCCCUUCUCUUUCUCGUUUCCGUACUCACGACUCUGUAGAGGCGGUUCAGGAUCUUCACGUACACUUGGUCUGUGCUCUAAAUCAGGGGUGUCUGCCCACGGCUGGGGUGGGGCGCGCUACUGGCAUCUGGCAGCUAGAAGCCGGGGUGCCGGCACCCGAGAAGGCAGAACACAGUCCACCCCUCCCCUAACAGAGAAUUCUCUUGGCCCCAGAAGUCGCGAGGGCCUGGGCUCAGGAGCCCUGUCCUAAAAGACGCUUUUGCAUGGUUACCUUAAGCCUCAGCGGCCCAAUCACCUUGCUAUGAUGUCACCUCACACCUUUCUUGGGCAUCGAAAAGCUACUAUAAAACCACAGUGAAAAUAAUUUCAGAGUUACAGAGGUCUUAAGGAGAAAAAUCCCACCAUAGAUGUUAAAAAUUGUCAAACAGCCCCUGGUAUUUCUGUUCGGCUCUCUUCAACCAGUGAAGGCAACAACAGAGGCCACGAGAUGCUUACAAAUGAUACAGUGCAAAAGCCCGGCAGAUCACAGUUGCCAUCCUGACGGGCCAGGCUGCCCUUGGAAGGUGGUAAGCAAAGAGAAAAAGUGGAGUGGCAAACCAUUCUUCUUUGGUCCCCUCCAGAUAACGGCAUCGUCAGGACUGCUGAGCAAGAAACCCACGGACAUCACCCCCAGGUUGUCUUCCAAGAACUAAACAGGAUGAAACAAGAAACAUUUAAAACCACAGGGCAAGGCACUUCCUUGUCAUUUAUCUGAGCUCAAAAUGAAAAAACCAUUUGGGGAACUAAAUGACCACGUGACUUA